UGGCUUAAAAAUGUUAAAACUUUUUUCAGACUAGUCAUACAUAUAACAUUGUUUGCAUUUUGCAGGGGCAAAUAGAUACUUCAUCUUGUGUAUGAAUGAUUUGUUGGCACUUGGAGGAGGUGGCAACUUUGCAUUAUGCAUGGAUGGAGACUUGUUGAAUGGAACAAGUGGACCUUGUGACACAUUUGGCAAUUCAUGCUUGGCACAUACUCCAGAGUUCUCUCUUAAGAAUGUUGAGCUAUGGGGAUUCACACAUUUAUCAAGAUAUUUACCAUAGGCUGUGUUGAAAAGAUGCGCAGAAGAGUUUGUGUGCAAAAAGUAUACUUAUUUUUCUUGUUUCUGUCACAGUCAAUAGCCAUUUAUUCAUAUAAGGAGGACUUGUAUUGGCCAUUAUGUUUAGCUUCCUUACAUUAAUAUCUACCUUAGAUUUUUUUUUCUGUUUGUUGUCUAUUUCCCUUCCAUUGAAUUUGUAUAUGAUUAGGAAAUGAAGUGAUAAAAUAUAUGUUUCUUUUUUUGAUGGUCCAUUAGAUUAAUAUCAUCAGUAUUGUAACAUUUAGUUUAUCAUUUUAUUUAUUUGUAUUUUAAUUGCCAACUUCAAGGCAUUAUA